GUGUCAGCAGCCGCGGUAAUACGUAGGGAGCAAGCGUUGUCCGGAAUCAUUGGGCGUAAAGCGCGCGUAGGUGGCCUCAUAAGUCCGCUGUGAAAGUCAAAGGCUCAACCUUUGAAAGCCGGUGGAUACUGUGAGGCUAGAGUACGGAAGAGGCGAGUGGAAUUCCUGGUGUAGCGGUGGAAUGCGCAGAUAUCAGGAGGAACACCAAUAGCGAAGGCAGCUCGCUGGGACGUUACUGACACUGAGGCGCGAAAGCGUGGGGAGCGAACAGGAUUAGAAACCCCCGUAGUCC
rnacentral:rRNA from 1 species